UACGUAGGGUGCGAGCGUUGUCCGGAAUUACUGGGCGUAAAGAGCUCGUAGGUGGUUUGUCGCGUUGUUCGUGAAAUCUCACGGCUUAACUGUGAGCGUGCGGGCGAUACGGGCAGACUAGAGUACUGCAGGGGAGACUGGAAUUCCUGGUGUAGCGGUGGAAUGCGCAGAUAUCAGGAGGAACACCGGUGGCGAAGGCGGCCUACUGGGCCAGCACUGACGCUGAGGCGCGAAAGCUCGGGGAGCGAACGGG
rnacentral:rRNA from 1 species